rnacentral:rRNA from 1 species
CCCUAGUAACUGCGAGUGAAGCGGGAAAAGCUCAAAUUUAAAAUCUGGUGGUCUUUGGUCAUCCGAGUUGUAAUCUAGAGAAGUGUUAUCCGCGCUGGACCGUGUACAAGUCUCCUGGAAUGGAGCGUCAUAGAGGGUGAGAAUCCCGUCUUUGACACGGACUGCCAGGGCUUUGUGAUGCGCUCUCAAAGAGUCGAGUUGUUUGGGAAUGCAGCUCAAAAUGGGUGGUAAAUUCCAUCUAAAGCUAAAUAUUGGCGAGAGACCGAUAGCGAACAAGUACCGUGAGGGAAAGAUGAAAAGAACUUUGGAAAGAGAGUUAAACAGUACGUGAAAUUGCUGAAAGGGAAACGCUUGAAGUCAGUCGCGUUGUCCGGGAAUCAACCUUGCUUUUGCUGGGCGUAUUUUCCGGUUGACGGGUCAGCAUCAAUUUUGACCGUUGGAUAAAGUUCAGGGGAAUGUGGCAUCUUCGGAUGUGUUAUAGCCUUUGUUCGCAUACAACGGUUGGGAUUGAGGAACUCAGCACGCCGCAAGGCCGGGUAUUUAUACCACGUUCGUGCUUAGGAUGCUGGCAUAAUGGCUUUAAUCGACCCGUCUUGAAACACGGACCAAGGAGUCUAACAUGCCUGCGAGUGUUUGGGUGGAAAACCCGAGCGCGUAAUGAAAGUGAAAGUUGAGAUCCCUGUCGUGGGGAGCAUCGACGCCCGGACCAGACCUUUUGUGACGGAUCCGCGGUAGAGCAUGUAUGUUGGGACCCGAAAGAUGGUGAACUAUGCCUGAAUAGGGUGAAGCCAGAGGAAACUCUGGUGGAGGCUCGUAGCGAUUCUGACGUGCAAAUCGAUCGUCAAAUUUGGGUAUAGGGGCGAAAGACUAAUCGAACCAUCUAGUAGCUGGUUCCUGCC